UAGGAGCAUUGCUGCUACCAUCUCCAAGAAGAUCAUGGCCCUGAGUGGGUCAAGCUGCUGCGGUAAUUGCAACACGUUGGUAAACAGAUCACAACUGACAGGUUUACACAAGCAUCGUGGACUACAUUGUCUGCAUCCCCAAAGACCUGGCCGAUGUCAUCCACUACUUCCUUAUGCGAGCCCUCUCAACUUUGCCUUCAAGGAUAAGAACACACAGCAAGUGCACGGCCCCUCCUCAUAUCAAAGGAACCAGAAGUAUGAUGCUACUAUUUACUAAGAAGGAGAAACGGAAAUAUCGUUGAACAGCACAUGGCAAGCCCUUAAUAAAUGUUUGCUGAAUGGAA